rnacentral:lncRNA from 1 species
UCAGAUACAAAAUCCUUUUCUUGGAAUAUAUAUACAUGCUCCAUUUUGUUCCAGAUGGUAGUUACCUCUCUUAUUUAUUAGCCAUGCUAAUUAUAAGAUGUUAAUCUAACUAAAUAUGACAACUUAGCAAUUGCCUGAAUUUCUGAGUCUUACUGUAACAUUCAUUUUAGAUUGGAAAGCUGUUUGUAUUUUAAAAUUUCUGUUCCAUAUUACAUUAUUUUGGAUCAGCUAUCUACAUUUUCUAGAUGCCCUUUGUCUAAUCAAAAUUGUUUUGAACAGAAAACUAUUGCUAGUCUCUGGCUUGGCAAAGCAGUGCUUUGUCUGCUCCAGUCCACUGGUUUUUCCAGUAGCCAGAGUAACUGACUUGUCUAUUUCAUGUAUUUCUCUCAUCCCUUGAAGUAAUGCUGCUCUCCUCUCAAAUUUUUUCUCUUCUUUACUUUUGGCAUUUGAAAAUAUUUUUAGGGUAUAUUAGUGGUGUCUUAAGAGCAGAAGCAAGAAAAUGGUAGUGUCAUAAAAGCCACCAGAAGCACAAGGGAAAAUCUUAAAACUUCCAUUAAAAAAGGUCAUUGGAAAUUAUUAUGUGUUUCAGUGUAUAACAAAUUGAGAACUUGCCUC